AUGUCCAAGCUCGUCGGCCUUCAAUUUCGCUUCUUGUACAAGCGCGGCCUCGACAACGGAGCGGCAGAUGCGCUCUCCAGAGUGGGCAAGCUGAUGGACCUGGCCGCGCUCUCGACCUGUCAGCCGGCAUGGUUGCAGGAGGUGGCUAACUCCUACACGACAGACGCGGAUGCCCAGGAACAUCUUCAGCACUUAGUCGUGUCCAGCCCGGAUGCAGAGAGGUAUGAGCUUCAUCGAGGCAUCAUUCGUCGCCAAGGCCGGCUCUGGAUCGGGGCUAACACGGCCCUGCGCACUAAGCUGAUCGCCGCGCUCCACAACAGCGCGGUGGGUGGCCACUCUGGCGUCACGGCGACCUACCACCGGGUCAAGAAGCAUUUCGAGUGGCGGGGCCUGAAGAAGGACGUGGAGGAAUUCGUGCACCAAUGCACCAUCUGUCAACAGGCCAAGCACGAGCACACCAAGCCAGCUGGCCUCCUCGCGCCCUUGCCCAUUCCGUCUGCGCCAUGGGAGGACCUAACAAUGGACUUCAUCGAGGGCUUGCCGGCGUCCGAGAGCUGCAACUCCAUCAUGGUCGUUGUCGAUCGCUUCACCAAGUUUACACACUUUGUGCCACUUCGCCACCCCUUCACUGCAGCAACAGUCGCCCGCGCGUUCUGGGACAACAUUGUGAAGCUGCACGGGAUUCCUUCUUCAAUUGUCUCCGACCGCGACAAGAUCUUCACCAGCAACCUCUGGCGCAAACUCCUCGAGAGCGCGGGCACCAAACUGCUGUACUCGACGGCAUACCACCCGCAGACCGAUGGCCAGAGCGAGAGGGUGAACCAGUGUCUGCAGAUGUACCUGCGCUGCACCGUCCACGACUCCCCCAACAAGUGGCGCCGCUGGCUACCGAUGGCUGAGUUCUGGUACAACUCGACCUUCCAUUCCUCCCUCAACUGCACACCCUUCAAGGCCCUGUAUGGCCGAGAAGCCAAUUUGGGCACCAUGGCAACCUGGGCAGAGGAGGCACCAACCGGCGACGACCUGGACUAG
rnacentral:rRNA from 1 species